GUCUUUUUGAUUAUAAUUUAAAGUCUAAUCUGCCCAAUGAUUUUUUAAAUGGCUGCGGUAUUUUGACCGUACAAAGGUAGCAUAAUCAUUAGUUUUUUAAUUGAAAGCUAGAAUGAAUGAUUGAACGAAAAAAUUACUGUCUCAAUUUAAUUUUUUUAGAAUUUUAUUUUUGAGUUAAAAAGCUUAAAUAAUUUUUAAAGACGAGAAGACCCUAUAGAGUUUAAUAUUUUAAAAAUUUUAAAUUUUAUAAAUUUUUUAAAUUUUAAAAAUAUUUUAUUGGGGUGAUAAUUAAAUUUAAAAAACUUUAAUUUUUACAUACAUAAAUUUAUGAAUAAAUGAUCCAUUAUUAAUGAUUAAAAGAUAAAAUUACCUUAGGGAUAACAGCGUAAUUUUUUUUGAGAGUUCUUAUCGAAAAAAAAGAUUGCGACCUCGAUGUUGGAUUAAAAUUAAAUUUUGGUGUAGAAGCUAAAACUUUAAGUCUGUUCGACUUUUAAAAUUUUACAUGAUCUGAGUUUAAACCGGCGUGAGCCAGGUUGGUUUCUAUCUUAAAAUAAUUAAAAUAUUUUAGUACGAAAGGACCAAAUAUUUGUAAUAAUUAUUAAUUUUUGAAUAU
rnacentral:rRNA from 1 species